rnacentral:rRNA from 1 species
AUUGAACGCUGGCGGCAGGCCUAACACAUGCAAGUCGAGCGGAGCGGAGGACGGGUGAGUAAUGCCUAUGACUCUGCCUGGUAGUGGGGGAUAACGUCCGGAAACGGGCGCUAAUACCGCAUACUAUCAGAUUAGCCUAGGUGGCAUUAGCUAGUUGGUGGGGUAAAGGCCUACCAAGGCGACGAUCCGGAACUGGGCUGAGAGGAUGAUCAGUCACACUGGAACUGAGACACGGUCCAGACUCCUACGGGAGGCAGCAGUGGGGAAUAUUGGACAAUGGGCGAAAGCCUGAUCCAGCCAUGCCGCGUGUGUGAAGAAGGCCUUCGGAUUGUAAAGCACUUUAAGUUGGGAGGCGUUACCAACAGAAUAAGCACCGGCUAACUUCGUGCCAGCAGCCGCGGUAAUUC